UUUCAUUAUUCCAUUACUCACUCUCUCUCUCUCUCUCUAUGUCAUUCUCUCCAGAAAGUGUAAUGACUCUCUUUAUAUCUCCCUCUUCUCCCCAUCGAAGUUGUUGUUCAAAAAGCUUCAACAGAUUCGAAAUACAUGAGGUAUCCCAUGAGCAAACCAAAUGGAUAGUUGGAGCAAAGAAGCAGUUGGGAUGAUGGCCUUUCUUGAAGCCCUCAGAAGCGUUUGUUUCAACUCAAACUGGACUGACUUUGUUUUUUGGCCAAUUCAUUCUCGCCAGAGAGUUAGAUGUGGUAAUGGUUGCAAAGUUGGAGACGACAAUGGUAGCUUAUGAGUAUAAACUACUUCUUUCCUUAAUUUUUUUGCAAAAAUGGAGGAAAAUAAGAGAUAGGUUCUGCUAUUGUUUUGUUUUACUGUUUUUUAUGUUGUUCUGAGGUUAAGUACUGUUUGGAUGAGCAAUUAAUUGAAAUGGGUUAUGGGUUGAUUGUGUUUUUUUUAUUUUAUUUAUUUUAUUGUGUGUAGGAUGUUGAUGUGGGAAGAUGGGUUUUGCAAAGGAAGAAUUGUAGAUUGUUUGGAAGAAAUUGUGGGUACUUGGUAGCUUUCAUUUUUAAUUUUUUUAAAUAUGAAAUCUCUCUCUCACAUAUAGUAAUUUUGGAGAGUAAAAUUGAUUAUACAAAUAAGAAAAUUGGCAAAAUCUUUAGUACUCCUCUCUCUAUUUGAUUUUUAAUUUUUUUUUUAUUUUUUUAAUCAGUUGUUGUUCAUAGCAUUUCAGUGUACCAUGUUAAACCAUUAAAGGUAUCCUACUUUUUUAAUAUGAUGCAUGGCUUC